AGGUGCCUCCUCCUUCUCUCCCAAAUCUGCCAACAGCCAGAACCUGAGCCAGCUGAGUAAGGACAGAAGCACAGCCUUCUCCUGUUUGAGCCUUGAGCUGAGACCCAGCCACCACCUUGACUGCAGGUGGUGAGAGAUCCCAAGCCAACUUCAUUUCCCCAACUAAGCCAUACUCAGAUUCCUGCCCCACAGAAACUGAAAUAAUAAAUGCUUGUUGCGGAAGGUUCAUUACACAUCACAGUUCAGUCUAACCUGCAUUUGGGGAUGUAAGGGAACCAAUUGCUGUCCAUGCUUCUGCAAAGACUUGUGAAGGCAGAGAUAUGAGCCUGGAGAAGCUGGCUUCAUGCGACAAGAGGUGCCCUGCAAAGAAAUGAAGCUCCAGGCUAAGGUCCAAAACUCAUACCACUUACUGCACAACCGCCUAUAAGUCAAGAGACACAAUGUUGGGGCAAGCAAAAUGAUUAUUUCAAUGGCCAGCAAAUCAAGAAGAUGGCAGACCAGAGCUGUAAAGAACGGUCUUUAAAGACAUG
rnacentral:lncRNA from 1 species